ensembl:lncRNA
GGAGUUUCCACUGAGGACUAUGUUGCUUCUCUCUCUGGGGCCGCUGCUGGCUCGGGAAAUUGUUACCGGUAAAGAUAUAAAGCUGUAUCAGACGGCAGAUUUGGAGGUCGUCGAGGGCGACAGCGUCACACUCCAUUGUUGCUGGACAGGCGCCAACCACACACAGUAUGGAGCGGAAUGGAGGAAAAAUGAGGAUAAAAUUCUUCACAAACCGACAGCCGUAACGGACAACGGAGAGGGCUUUGGUUCGGCCCUGUCACCUGUGAACAACGGUACCUGUGGCUGGGCCACCCUGACCCUUCCCAACGUCACCCGCAACCACACUGGGCGCUACGUCUGCCAGGUGUCCAUUAAUAAGCCCACGCUUAUUCAGUUUUGUGGAAACGGCACGAUGAUCACUGUCAUAGAACGACGGAGCCCCACCAACGGCACAACGCAAGAAAACCCGACUAUAGACGCCCCACUGCGGCACCUGGUCACCGUCGUUGUUUCGCUGGCAAUAGUAAUGGCCACCGUGUUCCUCGUCACUCUGAUAUAUCUGUGGAAGCUGCAGAGGAGACGAGGGUUGGACCAAGCAGCAAGGGUGAUCUAUGAGGUUCCCCAUGGAGACUCUGAGGUGGACGGAACCAGCACCAGCUCGUCCAAAGGGUCCUCCCAUGUCAGGUACCAGUGUAUGAGUCCUUCGACUACUUUAAGCAUGGGGUGGAAAGCAAGGGCAGUGGAUGAAGGAGUCUCAAUCGGUUCUGUUUCCCUUGUUGGUUUUGUAAAUAUCUCUGAUAUGUUCUGUCAUCCUCUGCCUCCAUACAUGUUGCUUUAAAAUAAGCGAAUUGAAAGCCAUACAUUAACUGCGAAAUAGCAAUUAAGCCUUGUUAGAUGAAAUUGAAAAGGAUUGUAUGUAAUGUCGA